rnacentral:rRNA from 1 species
GUCUAUGGUCAAGGCACCCUGAAUGUGCCUGAUCUUGGAAGCUAAGCAGGGUCAGGCCUGGUUAGUACUUGGAUGGGAGACCACCUAGGAAGACCAGGUGCUGUAGGCA